GCGAAAUAGCUCAGUUGGGAGAGCAUUAGACUGAAGAUCUGAAGGUCCCUGGUUUGAUCCCGGGUUUCGGCG
rnacentral:tRNA from 2 species